UAGCCUAGUGGUUAAGGCUCUGGAUCGCCGAUCCGGAGACGGUGGGUUCGAUUCCCGU
rnacentral:tRNA from 1 species